rnacentral:tRNA from 1 species
GGGGAUUUAGCUCAGUGGUAGAAGCACCUGCCUGGCAAGUACGAGGUCAUAAGUUCAAUCUCCA